GCGCGAAAACUUUACCAUGCGGGCAACCGUGAUAAGGAAACCCCGAGUGCCAGCACAGGCUGGCUGUCCACCAGUGUAAAUAACUGGUGAAGAAAGGGCCGGGCAAGACCGGUGCCAGCCGCCGCGGUAAUACCGGCGGCUCGAGUGGUGGCCGCUAUUACUGGGCUUAAAGGGUCCGUAGCUGGAUAUACAAGUCCCUUGAGAAAUCCGCCGGCUUAACCGGUGGGCGUUCAGGGGAAACUGUAUUUCUAGGGACCGGGAGAGGUGAGAGGUACUGCCGGGGUAGGAGUGAAAUCCUGUAAUCCCGGUGGGACCACCUAUGGCGAAGGCAUCUCACCAGAACGGGUCCGACAGUGAGGGACGAAAGCUGGGGGAGCAAACCGG
rnacentral:rRNA from 2 species